GAGUACUACCAAAUUGUAAAUUUCGACAUACUAAAACGCUGUUUUCUGACCAUCAGAAUUCAGUGAAAUCUUUCCCAAAGUCCAGGAAAUGGCAGCCCCCCCCCCCAAUCAAAAGAGGUUCCUACGGCCCUGAGGAUCGGAUAUAUAGCAGGGCCUUUUUUAAGGAUUUUCCCGUGGGGGGGGGGCAUUUUUUGAAAAGGUACCUUUCUGUGAGAUAAUAUAUUAGACGGG